rnacentral:rRNA from 1 species
CACUCCUACGGGAGACAGCAGUGGGGAAUAUUGGACAAUGGGCGCAAGCCUGAUCCAGCCAUGCCGCGUGAGUGAUGAAGGCCCUAGGGUUGUAAAGCUCUUUCACCGGUGAAGAUAAUGACGGUAACCGGAGAAGAAGCCCCGGCUAACUUCGUGCCAGCAGCCGCGGUAAUACGAAGGGGGCUAGCGUUGUUCGGAUUUACUGGGCGUAAAGCGCACGUAGGCGGACUAUUAAGUCAGGGGUGAAAUCCCGGGGCUCAACCCCGGAACUGCCUUUGAUACUGGUAGUCUUGAGUUCGAGAGAGGUGAGUGGAAUUCCGAGUGUAGAGGUGAAAUUCGUAGAUAUUCGGAGGAACACCAGUGGCGAAGGCGGCUCACUGGCUCGAUACUGACGCUGAGGUGCGAAAGCGUGGGGAGCAAACAGGAUUAGAAACCCGGGUAGUCCCAUG